rnacentral:rRNA from 1 species
UACAGAGGUCCCGAGCGUUGUUCGGAUUCACUGGGCGUAAAGGGUGCGUAGGUGGUGAGGUAAGUCGGAUGUGAAAUCUCCAAGCUCAACUUGGAAACUGCAUUGGAAACUACCUUGCUUGAGGUUUUGAGGGGGGAUUGGAAUACUUGGUGUAGCAGUGAAAUGCGUAGAUAUCAAGUGGAACACCAGUGGCGAAGGCGAAUCCCUGGAAAACACCUGACACUGAGGCACGAAAGCUAGGGGAGCAAACAGG